UACCCCGCUGGAAACUAAAGCAUAUCAAUAAGCGGAGGAAAAGAAAACCAACAGGGAUUGCSUCAGUAACGGCGAGUGAAGCGGCAACAGCUCAAAUUUGAAAUCUGGCCCCCUCGGGGCCCGAGUUGUAAUUUGCAGAGGGUGCUUUGGCGUUGGCUGUGGUCCAAGUUCCCUGGAACAGGACGUCGCAGAGGGUGACAAUCCCGUACGUGGCCGCCAGCCUCCGCCGUGUAAAGCCCCUUCGAAGAGUCGAGUUGUUUGGGAAUGCAGCUCUAAAUGGGAGGUAAAUUCCUUCUAAGGCUAAAUACCGGCCAGAGACCGAUAGCGCACAAGUAGAGUGAUCGAAAGAUUAAAAGCACUUUGGAAAGAGAGUGAAACAGCACGUGAAAUUGUUGAAAGGGAAGCGCUUGCAGCCAGACGUGCCCGAGGGGUUCAGCCGGGGUCCUCCCCGGCGCACUCCCCUCCGGGCAGGCCAGCAUCAGUCUGGGCGGCCGGACAAAGACCUGUUAAACGUGACUCCCCCCGGGGAGAGCUUAUAGGGCAGGCGGCAUACGACCAGCCCAGACUGAGGACCGCGCAUCUGCUAGGAUGCUGGCGUAAUGGCUGUAAGCGGCCCGUCUUGAAACACGGACCAAGGAGUCUAACAUCUAUGCGAGUGUUUGGUCGUCAAAACCGGGCGCGCAAUGAAAGUGAACGCAGGUGGGAGCCCCCCGGGGCGCACCAUCGACCGAUCCUGAUGUCUUCGGAAGGAUUUGAGUAAGAGCAUAGCUGUUGGGACCCGAAAGAUGGUGAACUAUGCCUGAAUAGGGUGAAGCCAGAGGAAACUCUGGUGGAGGCUCGCAGCGGUUCUGACGUGCAAAUCGAUCGUCAAAUUUGGGCAUAGGGGCGAAAGACUAAUCGAACUAUCUARUAGCUGGUUCCUGCCGAAGUUCCCCCCUCCAAGGAAAAAU
rnacentral:rRNA from 1 species